rnacentral:ncRNA from 1 species
AGACCGGAAUGUCGUAAAACUAUCAGCGCAUGGGAGGCAACCCCGUAUAAAAGCGUA